CCUACGGGUGGCUGCAGUCGAGAAUCAUUCACAAUGGGGGAAACCCUGAUGGUGCGACGCCGCGUGGGGGAAUGAAGUUCUUCGGAUUGUAAACCCCUGUCAUGUGGGAGCAAAUUAAAAAGAUAGUACCACAAGAGGAAGAGACGGCUAACUCUGUGCCAGCAGCCGCGGUAAUACAGAGGUCUCAAGCGUUGUUCGGAAUCACUGGGCGUAAAGCGUGCGUAGGCUGUUUCGUAAGUCGUGUGUGAAAGGCGCGGGCUCAACCCGCGGACGGCACAUGAUACUGCGAGACUAGAGUAAGGGAGGGGGAACCGGAAUUCUCGGUGUAGCAGUGAAAUGCGUAGAUAUCGAGAGGAACACUAGUGGCGAAGGCGGGUUCCUGGACAUUAACUGACGCUGAGGCACGAAGGCCAGGGGAGCGAAAGGGAUUAGAUACCCGAGUAGUC
rnacentral:rRNA from 1 species